CACGUAGGCACCAAGCGUUGUCCGGAUUUAUUGGGCGUAAAGAGCUCGUAGGCGGUUCAGUAAGUCGGGUGUGAAAACUUUGGGCUUAAACCCAAAGGCGUGCCAUCCGAUACUGCUGUGACUUGAGUACGGUAGGGGAGCGGGGGAAUUCCGUAGUGUAGCGGUGAAAUGCGCAGAUAUUAGGAGGAACACCGGUGGCGAAGGCGCCGCUCUGGGCCGAAACUGACGCUGAGGAGCGAAAGCAUGGGUAGCAAACAGG
rnacentral:rRNA from 1 species